rnacentral:rRNA from 1 species
UACGUAGGGGGCAAGCGUUGUCCGGAUUUAUUGGGCGUAAAGAGCGUGUAGGCGGCCAUGUAGGUCCGUUGUGAAAACUCGAGGCUCAACCUCGAGACGCCGAUGGAAACCAUGUGGCUAGAGUCCGGAAGAGGCGAGUGGAAUUCCUGGUGUAGCGGUGAAAUGCGCAGAUAUCAGGAGGAACACCAAUGGCGAAGGCAGCUCGCUGGGACGGUACUGACGCUGAGACGCGAAAGCGUGGGGAGCAAACAGG